rnacentral:rRNA from 1 species
GUGGGGAAUUUUGGACAAUGGGCGCAAGCCUGAUCCAGCCAUGCCGCGUGCAGGAUGAAGGCCUUCGGGUUGUAAACUGCUUUUGUACGGAACGAAAAGACUCUGGUUAAUACCUGGGGUCCAUGACGGUACCGUAAGAAUAAGCACCGGCUAACUACGUGCCAGCAGCCGCGGUAAUACGUAGGGUGCGAGCGUUAAUCGGAAUUACUGGGCGUAAAGCGUGCGCAGGCGGUUAUGUAAGACAGAUGUGAAAUACCCGGGCUCAACUGGGGAAGUGCAUUUGUGACUGGAUAGCUAGAGUACGGCAGAGGGGGAUGGAAUUCCGCGUGUAGCAGUGAAAUGCGUAGAUAUGCGGAGGAACACCGAUGGCGAAGGCGAUCCCCUGGGCCUGUACUGACGCUCAUGCACGAAAGCGUGGGGAGCAAACAGGAUUAGAAACCCUGGUAGUCC